rnacentral:tRNA from 1 species
GGGCAGAUGGUAGAGCGGUCAAUUACAACAGACUGUAAAUCUGUCGGCUUCGGCCUACGGGGGUACGAUCCCCUCUCAGCCCA